UACGGGGGGAGCAAGCGUUGUUCGGAUUUACUGGGCGUAAAGGGCGCGUAGGCGGUCGUGACAAGUCACUUGUGAAAUCUCCGGGCUUAACUCGGAACGGUCAAGUGAUACUGUCGGACUAGAGUACAGAAGGGGCAACUGGAAUUCUCGGUGUAGCGGUGAAAUGCGUAGAUAUCAGGAGGAACACCGAUGGCGAAGGCAGUUCUCUGGGCCGUAACUGACGCUGAGGAGCGAAAGCGUGGGGAGCGAACAGG
rnacentral:rRNA from 1 species